rnacentral:rRNA from 1 species
UACAGAGGUGGCAAGCGUUGUUCGGAAUUACUGGGCGUAAAGGGCGCGUAGGCGGCCUACUAAGUCAGACGUGAAGUCCCCCGGCUUAACCUGGGAACUGCGUCUGAUACUGGAAGGCUUGAGGAUGGGAGAGGGAUGUAGAAUUCCAGGUGUAGCGGUGAAAUGCGUAGAUAUCUGGAGGAAUACCGGUGGCGAAGGCGGCAUCCUGGACCAUUAGUGACGCUGAGGCGCGAAAGCUAGGGGAGCAAACGGG